AACGAACGCUGGCGGCAUGCCUAACACAUGCAAGUCGAACGAGACCUUCGGGUCUAGUGGCGCACGGGUGCGUAACGCGUGGGAAUCUGCCCUUAGGUACGGAAUAACUCAGGGAAACUUGAGCUAAUACCGUAUAAUGACUCCGGUCCAAAGAUUUAUCGCCUAGGGAUGAGCCCGCGUCGGAUUAGCUAGUUGGUGAGGUAAAAGCUCACCAAGGCGACGAUCCGUAGCUGGUCNGAGAGGAUGAUCAGCCACACUGGGACUGAGACACGGCCCAGACUCCUACGGGAGGCAGCAGUGGGGAAUAUUGGACAAUGGGCGAGAGCCUGAUCCAGCAAUGCCGCGUGAGUGAUGAAGGCCUUAGGGUUGUAAAGCUCUUUUACCCGGGAUGAUAAU
rnacentral:rRNA from 1 species